UGCCAGCAGCCGCGGUAACACGGGGGGCGCAAGCGUUAUCCGGAAUUAUUGGGCGUAAAGGGCGCGCAGGCGGCUAUUUAAGUCAGAUGUGAAAGUCCACGGCUCAACCGUGGAAGUGCAUUUGAAACUGGAUGGCUUGAGUACUGGAGGGGGUGGUGGAAUUCCCGGUGUAGAGGCGAAAUUCGUAGAUAUCGGGAGGAAUACCGGUGGCGAAGGCGGCUUACUGGACCGGUACUGACGCUGAGGUACGAAAGCGUGGGGAGCGAACAGGAUUAGAUA
rnacentral:rRNA from 1 species